ACGCUGGCGGCGUGCUUAACACAUGCAAGUCGAACGCUGAAGCCUAGCUUGCUGGGUGGAUGAGUGGCGAACGGGUGAGUAACACGUGAGUAACCUGCCCUCUUCUUUGGGAUAACGGCCGGAAACGGCUGCUAAUACCGGGUAUUCACUGUCCUUCGCAUGGGGGGUGGUGGAAAGGUUUUUUCUGGUGGGGGACGGGCUCGCGGCCUAUCAGCUUGUUGGUGGGGUGAUGGCCUACCAAGGCUUUGACGGGUAACCGGCCUGAGAGGGUGACCGGUCACAUUGGGACUGAGAUACGGCCCAGACUCCUACGGGAGGCAGCAGUGGGGAAUAUUGCACAAUGGGCGAAAGCCUGAUGCAGCGACGCCGCGUGGGGGAUGACGGCCUUCGGGUUGUAAACCUCUUUCGCUCAUGGUCAAGCCGCAACUGUGGUUGUGGUGAGGGUAGUGGGUAAAGAAGCACCGGCUAACUACGUGCCAGCAGCCGCGGUAAUACGUAGGGUGCGAGCGUUGUCCGGAAUUAUUGGGCGUAAAGGGCUUGUAGGCGGUUUGUCGCGUCUGCCGUGAAAUCCUCUGGCUUAACUGGGGGCGUGCGGUGGGUACGGGCAGGCUUGAGUGCGGUAGGGGAGACUGGAACUCCUGGUGUAGCGGUGGAAUGCGCAGAUAUCAGGAAGAACACCGGUGGCGAAGGCGGGUCUCUGGGCCGUUACUGACGCUGAGGAGCGAAAGCGUGGGGAGCGAACAGGAUUAGAUACCCUGGUAGUCCACGCUGUAAACGUUGGGCACUAGGUGUGGGGGCCACCCGUGGUUUCUGCGCCGUAGCUAACGCUUUAAGUGCCCCGCCUGGGGAGUACGGCCGCAAGGCUAAAACUCAAAGGAAUUGACGGGGGCCCGCACAAGCGGCGGAGCAUGC
rnacentral:rRNA from 1 species